UACAGAGGUCUCAAGCGUUGUUCGGAUUCAUUGGGCGUAAAGGGUGCGUAGGCGGCGCGGUAAGUCGGGUGUGAAAUCUUGGAGCUUAACUCCGAAACUGCAUUCGAUACUGCCGUGCUUGAGGACUGGAGAGGAGACUGGAAUUUACGGUGUAGCGGUGAAAUGCGUAGAUAUCGUAAGGAAGACCAGUGGCGAAGGCGGGUCUCUGGGCCGAAAUUGACGCUGAGGAGCGAAAAGCGUGGGGGAGCAAACAGG
rnacentral:rRNA from 1 species